AAAGAAAAAACUAUCAAGAAUUUUACUAAAUUUUGUGUGCAAUCUAUGGAAGACGAUACAAUACUGCAAUAUCUGUACGAAGCAGAUUCUUUAAGCUUGGCCCUCUAAUACACAUGUUCCCCACCAUCCCCACUAUCGUGAAAUUGAAAACCUCGAUGGAAUAUGUUCUUCACGUAGAAAAAAAAUUAAACUUAAUGAAUUCUUCGUUUUUUUUCAUUUCAAAAUGCAUUCAACGUAGAACUUUUCAAAUAGAACUCGAUAUUAUUACAUUUUAUUCAAGAAAUUAAUAUUUCUGAAAAUUGAUUCUCGCAAUAUUUACUUAAAAAAAAAACUUCGUUAAAAAAUUAUAAUUUAUUGAAAACAAGCUUUACAAAUAUUUGAACCAUCGAGUUCGAGAUACAGACGAUAUCUUUGUUACCGGAAGUUUGCAAUGUCUCACUGACAGUUGAGAAAAUUGAAAACCUGGCGAAUCUUUAAAUUUCAACGAAAAUGUGAAAGAUCAAUGAAGUGAAAAUAUUUGGACGUUUAUCGAAAUGUUUGAUUGUCUCACUAUAUGUAACACCGUUUGCAUAGGUUGCAUCUGGGUUGCUUUAUUCUCCAAGUGUUUUUCAAAUUUAAUUAGCAUCAGAAGAGUCGAUUCGAGCGAGUGCUGCAAUUGGAAGAAACCAAAACCCGAAGAAAAGAUUUCACGCAUUGUUCAAUGUUGUUUAAGCUCUACAGAGGCUCUUAUGCUUCAAACAUCUUGCCAAUCUAAUUACGAUGACUUACAGAAUUAUAAAUAUCAAGUAUUGAUGGCAGAAAAGGAAAUAUUAUAAAAUUAAAAAGUUAGUUAUAUGAAAUGAUAAUUAAUAAUGGAAAAUGUUCAAACAUUUGAAUUAUUAGUAUAUCCUUUGAUAAUAAAAUAUAAACAGAUGAUAAUCAGCAGACUGAAAUUGCAAAAAAAAAAAAGAAGAUUUACAAAAUUUGUGAACGAAGAAAAGGAAAUAUUUUUGCCAGAUUAGAAAAUGUCGAAAAUGUCGAACAACUACAAAAUUAAUCAUCUGUACCUGUACAUCUUAUUUCAUAUCUUAUUUUACAUCCAAAAGAUGUAAAAUAAAAAUAAUUGAUAGAAAAUAUUCAAAGUGAAUAAUCCAUUGUCCAAUAAUAUGUCCAAUAAUC